rnacentral:rRNA from 1 species
GACGAACGCUGGCGGCGCGCCUAACACAUGCAAGUCGAACGGAGUCAAGAGGAGCUUGCUUUUCUUGACUUAGUGGCGAACGGGUGAGUAACGCGUGAGUAACCUGCCCUGGAGUGGGGGACAACAGUUGGAAACGACUGCUAAUACCGCAUAAGCCCACGGCCCGGCAUCGGGCUGCGGGAAAAGGAUUUAUUCGCUUCAGGAUGGACUCGCGUCCAAUUAGCUGGUUGGUGAGGUAACGGCCCACCAAGGCGACGAUUGGUAGCCGGACUGAGAGGUUGAACGGCCACAUUGGGACUGAGACACGGCCCAGACUCCUACGGGAGGCAGCAGUGGGGGAUAUUGCACAAUGGGGGAAACCCUGAUGCAGCGACGCCGCGUGGAGGAAGAAGGUUUUCGGAUUGUAAACUCCUGUCGU